rnacentral:lncRNA from 10 species
AUCCACACACACACUGGCUAAAUACUGCCAUGUUAUCUUUCUAGCCAUGGCCAAUCAAUAAAGUCAAAUUUGAUGUUUAAGAAGAGACUGGUGAUCUGAAUGAGAGCACAGGAGGUUUGCUUAUCAAAAAUGCAGGUACCGCAGUCCUGAGAGAGACAGCUGAAAGAAAAGAUGAGGAGAUCGGGAUUUCAAAUUAUCUUGAGCCUGAAGCCUGAAUGUUGGGUCUGUACCAAGAAGAAAAUAUAAAAGUUAAAUAUAGAAAAGCUUCAUAUCCUGAGUUUAGUUUCAAAAAUUUAACUAUGUGAGUUGAGAUUGAGAAGGACUUAGCUGGCAGCUAA